UGAUCUAAGUGCUGAUAAUAGUGGGAGUUUUGAUUGUUUUUUGAGGAGGUUUAUGAUUCCACGGAUUAAAUACACCUUUUUACCAUUCCAACUUCUCUUUUCACUUAAAUUUUUCAAAACGUAUCUUCCCUCCUAUGUUCUCUAAUUCCCACCUUUCCGAAAAAUUUCCCAUACCCAACUUACAUUUUUAUUUUAUUUUUCCCACAUUUUGCACCUUUCCCCCUUUCUUCUUCACGCAAGCCUUUUCCUCUUUUUUCUUAAACCCUAGCAUAAGAGUGAGGUUACCACAAUGAGGAGGAGGCAGCGUCCAGGAAGGCUCCCAGUCCCGAUAACCUAGCGGUUGCUGUUGAAAAUCGCGAGGGAGUCACCAUCGAUGCUAGAGGCCAUCGGAGUUGUGGCGCACGCAGCGUUCCCUGCCGACGUCGAUGACGCCUAUGACUGCCUUGUGAACGUGAAAGAUCUUAAUAUGGAGUGGUUUGAUGCAUCCAUGGACGAGUUCCGGAGGCAUUGGGAGGAGGAAAAAACUGGGCAUUCGGCGAAGCACUCAGAUGGAGGAGGAUGGGUUUCAACUGGUUUCUGAAACGAGUCUGACCACACCUGGACUCACUAUGGCAACUAAGGAUAAGAAGACGAUGAGACCCAAGCCCAAUGUUUCGUUUCAUAUUCCAACGAUAAGGACGUGGACCGCGAUCAACCUUCCGUCACGGUGGAGAAGGCCCAGGCACUGCAGACUCUAGUAGCAGGUCCUCUCUCCUCAAAGAUGACAAAGCUCGCCGCGUGAAAUGUUUUGAAAUAGGUAUGUCCUCUCUCCUUUCAUAUUUUCUCCAAUUCUCUCUACUUAUUGUAUGAAAUGUUUGUGAAAUAGGUAUGUUGAGUGCAUAUCAUCGGCAAUGCAGGGAUUGACUCUGUUUAGAAAUUUAAGAAGAAAGGAAAUUGAUUAUUGCAUUUCUAAAGCAAUCCAUUACAUUGAAAAAGCACAAAAUCCUGAUGGAUAAUGGAGCACAAAAAAAUAGAAAAGGACAUACCUAUGCCACCACUUAUAAAGAGGGAUGCUCUUUGGGGUAUGAUGUUCUUUGUUUAAAAAUAUUGCAUGAUUUCCAUGUUACCUUCGGCAAGCUGCCACUUCAGCGAAUUAUGACUGUUCUUGCUUACAAAACUGAACUUGUUAUUACCCUUUGGAAUUUUAUAAAGAAGUGUCAUGAGAACCAAAAGUGGUCAUCACUCACCUCAAAUGAUGCACCUGGCUGGUUGUUACCUCUGGCUGUAUUCUGUCCUGUCUACAAGUAAAACUUUUUCUCUCUACUCACCAUGAAAUUUUUUUUUUUCUAACCUCUUUUAAUUCUGAAUAUAUUUGUUGGAAAUGGGUCUUAUGAUUCGUGACUAUCAUUUGAAGUCAAAGGAGGUUACAUGAUUACAGAUUUGUUAGUUUUGUAUUUAUUGCCUUUGUUGUACUUAUAUGUAUUUAACUCUUGAAUCAAUAUAAAAUAUACACCUUCUGAGUUCUGAGCAAUUCCCUCAACAUUAUUCUGUGAUCUAAAUCAUUAUACUGUAACCUAUUUUAUCCUAUCUCAGGCACAUGCAUCAAGAAUCAAGGUUGCAUAGUUUUACUUGCUCCAUUGUUGUUACGUGUUCCGUUAAUUUAUAUAAUUUAAAUUAAUGGAAGUUAAAAUCGAUUCUUGAAUAUAUGCAUUAUACGACUAAAAGGACUAUACAAAGUCGAGGUUAUUCGGUUAUUUUUAUAUAUGUUUAAUUCCUUUGAUUUAGAUUUAGGCUAGUUUUUUUAGUAUAACUUGUUUUAUACUUUCGUAUGCACAAUUUCUCUGUCAUCUUUACAAUUUAUUGUCAUCCAUUCAUAAUAGAAAUGAUAUUGAUAUUUUUGUCUCGUAAUUAUUUAGAAAAUGAUAUUAAUACUUUUGUUUCAUCUCUUCGUAAAUUGUUUCUUUUCUAGGAAAACAAAAAAUAUCUUGUGCUGAGAGAGAUGCUAGAAGAUGGAGUUAGGAAGCUCCUGUCCAAUAAGGAGUGUUUGGCAUCAUUGUGUUCUUGAUAUGCAAAUGGGCAUGGAAUAAUCUUGAUGUGUUCAAGUAAUGGUUGAGAUUAAAACUUACUGUGGAUAAGAACUUGAUUGAGGUCUUCCCCAGGGGCAUGGACAAGGACACCCCUAUCCUAUAUGCAGCUAGAGCUUCAAGGACUGAAAACCAGGAUGUCAUUGAUUCAUCAUCAAUUGUGGGAAUUUUAAGUGACCUCAAGGAGGCAAAAACAGGAAUCAUCGAGGUGCAUUUCUUGCCUUUUAAUCAUGUGGACAAGCGCACUACUAUUACCUUUAUUGACGGCAAUGGUGACUGGCACAGAAGUAGCAAAGGUGUUCCUGAGCAAGUACGACUCUGUAUAUAAGCACUACAAUGUGAAUUACAGUAAAACAUUUAAUUGGUCUUAUAGUUUUUGACCAUUCUAGAAUUUUUUUGUCAAUCUUGUAAUAUUAUUUAAACAUUAUGUAUUUUUUUUUUUAUAUUUACAUUGUAAUUAUCAACGAAUGAAUGUAUGUUAUUUUAAA